rnacentral:rRNA from 1 species
UACGUAGGGUGCAAGCGUUGUCCGGAAUUAUUGGGCGUAAAGGGCUCGUAGGCGGUCCAUCGCGUCGGGAGUGAAAAGCUGGGGCUUAACCCCAGUCCUGCUUCCGAUACGGGCAGACUAGAGGUAUGCAGGGGAGAACGGAAUUCCUGGUGUAGCGGUGAAAUGCGCAGAUAUCAGGAGGAACACCGGUGGCGAAGGCGGUCUCUGGGCUGAUUACCUGACGCUGAGGAGCGAAAAGUGC